AACGCGAAGAACCUUACCCAGGUUUGAAAUGGUGCGGACAGUAUCAGAGAUGAUAUCUCCCGCAAGGGUCGCACCACAGGUGCUGCAUGGCUGUCGUCAGCUCGUGCUGUGAGGUGUUGGGUUAAGUCCCGCAACGAGCGCAACCCUUAUCAUUAGUUGCCAUCACGUUAGGGUGGGCACUCUAGUGAGACUGCCCGGGUUAACUGGGAGGAAGGUGAGGAUGACGUCAAGUCAGCAUGGCCCUUAUGUCUGGGGCUACACACGUGCUACAAUGGUCGGUACAGAAGGAAGCAAGACCGCGAGGUGGAGCAAAUCCGAAAAACCGGCCUCAGUUCAGAUUGCAGUCUGCAACUCGACUGCAUGAAGAUGGAAUUGCUAGUAAUGGCGUGUCAGCAAUAGCGCCGUGAAUACGUUCCCGGGCCUUGUACACACCGACUGUAC
rnacentral:rRNA from 1 species